GGAUGCAAGGGCAAUCUGGCUGCAACAUGUUAUCCCAUUGCUCACCAGUGUUGAUUCAGCUGAUCUGGCUGGCUAGGUGAGUGUCCCCUUCCUGCCUCACUGCUCCAUGUGUGUCCCUCCCAAAGCUGUGCUCUCGGUUGAAGAGGAUGACGUUCCCCAAUAGAAGGAGGACCAUCCUUUGUUCAAGGGCAUGCGAGUAGCUGCGCUCCCAGCUAGAACCUCCAAACAAGUCUCAAGGGAAUGACUCAGAAUAUAGUUCUUUGGUCUGGACAGCUUCUUGGUCAUGUCCAAAGGCAGGCCUCUCGCUGAACCUGGACCUCUUCACAAGGCCUGUGCUUU
rnacentral:snRNA from 1 species